UGCCAGCCGCCGCGGUAAUACGAAGGGGGCGAGCGUUGUUCGGAAUUACUGGGCGUAAAGGGCGCGCAGGCGGCCUAUCCAGUCAGGUGUGAAAGCCCCGAGCUCAACUUGGGAACUGCACUUGAUACUGAUAGGCUAGAAAACGGAAGAGGGCAGUGGAAUUCCCAGUGUAGAGGUGAAAUUCGUAGAUACUGGGAAGAACACCAGUGGCGAAAGCGGCUGCCUGGUCCGAUUUUGACGCUGAGGCGCGAAAGCGUGGGUAGCAAACAGGAUUAGAUA
rnacentral:rRNA from 1 species